CGAAUAUUGAUGCAUUAAAGAAUAUUACCGAUGCACUUUUCACGGAAAACAGAACGAAGCUCUUGCCAAACAGCUGCCUUUCGCGCGCUUCGCAACGGCUGUUUCAUUCGUCUCGCGCUUCCCGCCAGAACACCACGAACACGCAAGAAAGUGAACAUUCUCAGUACAUUAAACUGCCUUAAGUAACCGUAGUUUUUUAAAAAAAAGAAAACAUAGUGGAACUUCUCUGCGAAGGUUAGAGGGUACGUGAAAAAUAUAUCCUAAUGUUUUAACGUCUUUUGAAAACAUCACUACGCGAUAAAGGGCUACAAGGACAGAAGAUGUUUCCAGAACAUCAGUAGCAAUGGAACUGUAAGCCUUUGAUUUUGUUCCAGCAGGAUGAAUUUGACCUUACUACAAAGAGCUUUCUCCCCUGGCAUAUGCAAGUAAUUUCAUAUAAAGGGGGAAUGAAAAAGCUACUUCCAUUCAAAACCAAACAACAACAUGUCGACAGUGUUGGCCA